rnacentral:lncRNA from 1 species
CAACCCAAAAACCCUUUUACUUUUUAAAAGGUACCAUAGGAGCUAUAAGCUUCACUUUUGAGCUCAUUUAGGUUACUUGAGUAUCAAAGCCACUGGAAUGAUUAAUUUCCCUGGUAAUGAGAAUUGAACAGAGCACUACAGGCUUAUCAGGCAGUUAACAAUCUAACACUAUUCACACACCAGUCACCCAGAAAAUCUUUCCCACUUUCAGGUUCUAACUUGGCAUCAAAUUAACUGUAACUUUUCAAAUAAAUAACCUGUUAUUUUAGAACAUCAAAUAUUACUGAUUUCUCUCUCUGUGCCAAGCUUUCAAGAUAAUCUUCUUUGCUUUUGCUAGUGAUGCCGUUAUCAAAGCUUUACUUUUUAGGCAGAUGAUGCAGUAGCAAUACAAUUAAAUCGGGACGGGGAGAGAGAAGACUGAAAGUUGGGUUUAUCAUGCAGUUGCCACAGGGAAGAGCUCAAAAUUCUAUUCUCCCUUAUGUGGCAGCAAAGGCUGGAUCAAGAUCACGCAAGCAAGAGAUCACUCCAGUGACAUAUAGUGCCGGGUAAAAAGCUCCUAGUAACAAUGAAACCGAUGCCACAAAAUACUUCCCAACCCACAACCCUACACCUUGUUUGGUAAAACGGAUUUCUUUAAUUUUAGAACUUUGCAUAGACUGGAUUGAAAUAAUUUUCUUCCCCCACCCCCACCCUCUACUCCUAAACCUUUCUCUAAGGGCUUUUGGGCCAAACGUUACGCUCAGAUUUCAAAAUGCAAACAGAUGUCCCAUUGCCCUAAGAAAACGGACAGCUACGCUUCAUUUCCUAGACGUGCCGGAGCUGGGUAUUUGGUUUUUGUCCCCAGUAUUUAAAAGGGGCGCAUGACCCCCUCCCCGACUUCACUUGUAGUUACAUGCGUGGGUGUCAGUUUGGGAAAGGAGGGUAUAAGGAAAUCAAACUACAGAGUCCUCCCCUACCCCUUCACCUCCCCUCCCCAAGCUGGUUCUAGGCAGAAAGGAGGACGAUGUUCUGAGAAAGCUGGCGCUGGCCGGGGAUGGAGCAAGGACCACCCUAGAGAAGCUUCUGCCCUCUGUUUUGAGAGAAAGGAGAGACAUCCUCCCCAUCACUACUCCCAAACCUCCUGAAAGUAGGAGCCUUCUUGAACCUGUGCUAACCUGGAGGAGACAAAGAACUCUGGGAUCUCUUCCAGCCCCAGUGUACCAACCGAGCCUUCUGAUCCUGGUGGUU